AGCGAACGCUGGCGGCAGGCCUAACACAUGCAAGUCGAACGAAGUCUUCGGACUUAGCGGCGGACGGGUGAGUAACACGAGGGAACGUGCCUUUAGGUUCGGAAUAACUCAGGGAAACUUGUGCUAAUACCGAAUGUGCCCUUCGGGGGAAAGAUUUAUCGCCUUUAGAGCGGCCCGCGUCUGAUUAGCUAGUUGGUGAGGUAAAGGAUCACCAAGGCGACGAUCAGUAGCUGGUCUGAGAGGAUGAUCAGCCACAUUGGGACUGAGACACGGCCCAAACUCCUACGGGAGGCAGUAGUGGGGAAUCUUGCGCAAUGGGCGAAAGCCUGACGCAGCCAUGCCGCGUGAAUGAUGAAGGUCUUAGGAUUGUAAAAUUCUUUCACCGGGGACGAUAAUGACGGUACCCGGAGAAGAAGCCCCGGCUAACUUCGUGCCAGCCGCCGCUGUAAUAC
rnacentral:rRNA from 1 species